GAGCACCCAGGGCCCGUCCGUAAUCGCCCGGCUUAGUUGACGGGAAGGCAGCCGGGUACACCUGGCGCUGUCCCCGACCCCGCCCCUGGCCGGGCGGCACCCGGAAAGCUCCCCGCCGGAGCCAGAGCGGCGAAGCAGGGCCAUGGCGACAGCGCCAGCAGUGUGCGCCCCGCAGGGUCCCCCGCCGGGUGCACCAUCCCCGCCGGUCAGCACGCCCGCGCCCGCGCCCGCGUCCGGCUUGGGCCGUUGCCGGAUGGCGUUGCUGCUGGCCGUGGCGCUGGACGUGGCGGGCAUGGCGGCGCUGCUGACCGGCGUGUUUGCGCAGCUGCAGGUGCGCGGUCGUGACUUCGGCGACCUGCUCAUUUACUCCGGGGCGCUGCUCGUCUUCAUGAGCCUUCUGGGCUGGAUCCUCUGGUACACCGGCAACAUCGAGAUCUCGCGCCAGGAGCUCGAGCGCGACUACGGCCUGCAGCCCUCUGCGCUCGCCCGCCUCGCGCGUAAGCUCUCCCGCCGCUGGUCGGCGCCCGCUUCUGCCACGGCGGGCCAGCGUACGACGCCUGACUCCCGGGGAGCUCGCCGUGCCACCCGCGCGCCCCCGCCGCCCAACGCCGGCUCCCGCCGAGUACGCCUGCAGCUAGCCACGCUUGAGGCCGCGCCCGGGGCGGCGGGCGCCGGCACAGACUGAGCCCGAGCAGGAGUGCCCUUGCUGUCUGUACUCCGCAGAAAACUUCCCAUGUGUCCUUUAAGAUCCAACUCAACUCCGCUGCCUUUCUCUGGGUCUUCACAUUACCAGCUCAUGGCCCCACCUGCCAGGACCUGACCCAGACGUGCAGCUGCUCCCAACAUCCUGUAGCCGCCAGGAGGCCUCCCUGUGCUCCUCCGUCACCUGGAUAAAUGACUGCCUCCCA